UUCAUAUUUUCUCUGCUUUGUAAGAAACUGAAAAACCUAUCAAUUGUUGUGUGGCUUUGAGGUCUUAAGAGACAUCCUUGCAAUCUGAAGCUCUACACCCCUUUGGAUGUAUCCAUUCCAGCACAGAUAUUUGCACAGAUUUCAUUGCUCUCACAACUGGGUUUUUAAGGCAGGCUGCAGUUCAGCCUUCACAUCUUCUCUUGUCAAGGGACAAGGACCAGAUGCAGCAGUGUGUUCAGGCAGGAUGGCCACUUCUCAGGGACUCUGCAAUACCACCUCCACAGCAGCGUGGAGAGGAGCCAGAGCUGGCUUAGCAAAGCCUCUGAAGAGGUCUCCAUGUGCUCUUUGUGUAACAGAUACUGCAGCAGCCUAAGUGUAGCUGUGAUUUUUCAAGUACUUAAAUAAAGCUAAGCUGUUAAGUAGCACUGGGUUGUUGAAUGUACAUAGGUGGAAGCGAGCUGUGUGUAUGAACCCCUUGGAGCUGCAAUAAACUUAGGGCCAUCAGCCUUCAUACUCUGAAGGCUGCACCUGCUGCUCAUAAUAAUCAGUCAGGAUGAGUUAGUUAAUCAGAUUACUCGCUUCUGAGUAAAUAAGAUGAUUUACAAGGAAAGCCCAAGUGGCUUUCUGGUGACAAACGGGCCCUCAUUUUUCACUGUGAGUGGCUGUCUCCUAAAGCAGGCUGUGCAUGUGCAAAGAGCCAGCUCUUGUUUUGCUGAUCCCAAACAAACUGCAGUCGAGGUAGAGCAGCUCCUUCGGGAAGGCUUGUGCCGCUUUAAGAACACCAGGUGGGAGGCGGUAGAGGCACCACUGCGCGAACAAGUGCCCGAGCACCCUGCUGCACUCACCUGAGCCUCACACAGCCCAGGGGACCCUGCCCUGCCCUCCCUGUCCUCCCGCAGGUGGAACGGCUGCUCUGGCACUCACUGCUGCUGCCUGGCAGCGCAGCAUGGGCACCCAAACAAAGCUGCUCCAGCUCAUGGGCAACACUUGCGAGAUGCCUCAAGGAUACUGAGGAGCUUCAGACUCUUGACAUGGAGGAAAUCAUGGUGGAAACAGUCCUGGCCCCAUGGGAAAUCCUGCUGGUCAUUUUUGCUGCAGUGCUGGUAAUGAGUUUCCUGAUGCUGCUGCCGCCCGCUGCGGUGGUGAUCUGGAGAAUGAAGCGUGUGCCGCAGAUCUCGCUGCACGGCUCGGUGUGAGCCAGCCCUGCUGCACCACCAGUGCUCUGGGAGGAUGGCUCACACUGAUGACAUCUCUCAGGAUCACUCUCACCACCUGUGAUCCACCCAAAAGCACUGGGUUUACCAGUCUAAUUCUACUAAGUUCCUGUGAAAAGAGGAUGAGUGUGAUUUUGUCGUCAUGAACUGCAGUUCUCGGCACUUUGCCUUCCAUUUUUUGGCCAGGUUGUAAUUACUGUUGUUGGCUCAGUUCCUAGACUGAGUUCUUCUCUUGUGUUAUAAUGGAAUGAAAGAGAAGCAAGGAUACCCCAGCACUGUAUUCCCUUAACUAAUAUCAGGAAAUCCUCCCUCUCUACUGUUACACUGUAAAUAUUACCAAGCCUUUAGCUGACUGACAGUUAUGCAGGUGGACUUAUCAAAAGCAUGCAGGAUACUCUGGAGAGGCAGUAGUUUAGUCUGGUUGCAUAGCAAAACCUAAAAAUAAAAUAAAUAUCAGAGAAUGGUACCAUAAA